GUGAUUGGUGUGAGAGACAACCGAAAGAUGAUGAUUUCUUGGUUGGUGACUGAUGAGAUACAUUUUUGACCGAAUGUGAUUUUCUAUCAAUAUUGUUGCUGUGUUCCUCGAUCAUGUGGACAGGAUCCUCUUCAAUAGGUGAAAGUGACGGCUUCCAGCGUUGAGUCGUGUGGCGAUUAUUGCGAGCCAUUUGUUGGUGACGACCAUUAUUCGACGAAGAACGGUUUGUUAUUGGCUUCACUCGGGAGUGAAAACAACCAUGAAAAAACUUCAUCAUAUCAAUCACAGUAGGGAUGGAUUGAGGAACUUCGUG
rnacentral:lncRNA from 1 species